AUUGAACGCUGGCGGCAUGCCUUACACAUGCAAGUCGAACGGCAGCGGGGACUUCGGUCCGCCGGCGAGUGGCGAACGGGUGAGUAAAGUAUCGGAACGUACCUUUCAGUGGGGGAUAACGUAGCGAAAGUUACGCUAAUACCGCAUAUUCUGUGAGCAGGAAAGCAGGGGAUCGCAAGACCUUGCGCUGAUUGAGCGGCCGAUAUCAGAUUAGCUAGUUGGUGGGGUAAAGGCCUACCAAGGCGACGAUCUGUAGCGGGUCUGAGAGGAUGAUCCGCCACACUGGAACUGAGACACGGUCCAGACUCCUACGGGAGGCAGCAGUGGGGAAUUUUGGACAAUGGGGGCAACCCUGAUCCAGCCAUGCCGCGUGAGUGAAGAAGGCCUUCGGGUUGUAAAGCUCUUUCGGCCGGGAAGAAAUCGCGCAGGCUAAUACCCUGUGUGGAUGACGGUACCGGAAUAAGAAGCACCGGCUAACUACGUG
rnacentral:rRNA from 1 species